rnacentral:lncRNA from 1 species
CUGACAGCAACUGCCGAGGACCUGCCUGUGAGACCAGCCAGGGCCAGAGAGGGCGCGGACCGGGGCCCCACCUCCAGGGUCUCCAACCAACAGGGAGAGGGACAGCUCUGCGAGCCUCAUCAAAACCCUGUUUCCAGCUCUGAUGCUCAUGUUAAAACUACAGCUGAGAUGGUGUUUUUAAAAAUGAUAAUACGAAGAUUGUAAGGCAAUUGCUAUUUUUUCCUUCCUCUUGGGCCCCUUUCAUGAAAGUUGAUACUGAUGGUAAAAUGAACCAAGAUAGGGAUAAAGGCAUCACAGCUUCCCUACCAUAAACAACUAUGACCAAACUGCAAGUAAGUUUACGAAUCAGUCCUCUUCCUUGUGUUACGGAUUGGAAAACUAAAG